rnacentral:lncRNA from 1 species
AUGAAGGUCGCAGUGUCCAGAGGGGGCGACCACAACAGUGACGGCGACAGCUUCCGAGAAGCCACCAGCUCCCGGAGGAGCAGUUCUCGGGACCAACUCAGUGAUAGCUCGGCGCAGGCAGUCUCAGGCAGAGGUUACUCCUGUGACAGCGAGAGCGACGGGGAUGACAAGGCAUCUGUGGGCUCCGAGAAGCUCUUUGCCCCAGCAGCCGAUAAAGGCCCCACGCUGGGCGAGAAGUCCGAGGCCAAGACCGGGGCAGCGCCCAAGGUCUCGGGUCUCGAGCGCAGCCGCGAGCUGAGCACCGAGCCGCCCUUCUUGGCCCCCGUGCGCAGCCCCGCGCCGGUCUUGCCCUCCGCCAGCACCGCGGCCAGCCCGCUGGUCAAGAAGGAAGCCCCGGCGCUGCCCCGCCUUGCCCCGCAGCUGCCACCCGCGCCCUCGCAGCCCCGGGCCCCGCUCCUGACGCACGUGCCUCUCCCUCCGGGCGCCUUCCCGGGCCCCGGCCCGGCCGCGCACAACGGCCUGCACAGCCUCAGGCCCAGCACCAGCACCACGCGGCGGCCAUGUUCGCCGCGCCCCCGACACUGCCCCCGCCCCCGGCGCUGCCGGCCAACAGCCUGGUCAUCCCAGGACACCCCGCCGUUUGACAAGUACACGCCCAAGCUGGACAGCCCCUACUUCCGACAUUCCAACUUUUUCCCGCCCUUCCCUCCGGCCGUCCCAGGACUGCCCGCCCUGCUCCCACACCCAGGCCCCUUUGGAUCCCUGCAGGGUGCUUUUCAGCCCAAGACUUCAAACCCACUCGAGUUAACAGGCCGGGCCAGUGCGGUUCACACCCUCCUGCAGAAAGCCCCCGGGGUGUCUGACCCGUACCGGACAGCAAUCAGGAUGCAGCUGGAGCCCCACAAGCUGGACGUGGGCACCAAGCUGGACUUAUUCAGCAGACCCCCCGCCCCGGGCGUGUUCGCCGGAUUCCACUACCCACAGGACCUGGCCCGGCCCCUCUUCUCCAGCUCGGGUGCCACCCAUCCUGCCGCCAACCCGUUCGGACCCUCAGCGCAUCCUGGCAGCUUCCUGCCCACUGGUCACUUGACAGACCCUUUCAGCAGAUCAAGCACCUUCGGGGGCCUGGGGAGCCUAGGCAGCAACGCUUUUGGAGGCCUCGGCAGCCACGCGCUGACUCCCAGCAGCGGCGGCAUCUUUGCCCCCAAGGAGGGCCCCACACUGCACGGUCUGCCCAGCCCCCACGAGGCCUGGAACCGGCUGCACCGAGCACCACCCUCCUUCCCCACGCCACCCCCAUGGCCCAAGCCCUUAGACGCCGAGCGGGUCUCAGCCCUGACCAACCACGACCGAGAGCUGGACAAGGGCAAGGAGGAGCGGGACCGGGACCUCCUGGAAAAGACACGCCUGCUGAGCCGGGCCUCUCCAGCGGCGCCCGUGGGCCACCCAGGCAGUGGCCUCGUGCUCCGGGGCCAGGGCGAUCCGGGCCGGCCCGGGAUCCCUGCCGAACGCGAGGCUGAGCUCCGCAUCAAGGAGAGCCGCUCCCCGGCCAGGGAGGACGGCCCCAAGCCCAGCAAGAUGGCCCUGGGGGAAGGCCUGCGCCUGGCCGGUCUCCUGGGCCGCGAGCCCGGGAAGCCGCACGAGGCGCCGGCCGAGCGGUCCCAGGGCGACGUGAAGGUCAAGGAGGAGCGCGGGGAGGACGGAGACGCGCCCCCACAGCCCGGCCCGGGCCCCGCGGGCCGCGAGCGCCCGGCCUUCGCGUGGGAGCCACCGCGCGACGCCUACCGCGGCCCGGAGCUGCCCCGCCGCGCCCCGCCGGGCCCGGGCCCCGCCGCCCUCCUCGAGCCGCCCGAGCGCCCCUACCGGGACCGCGAGCCGCACGACUACAGCCCCGAGCGCCUGCGGGAGGCGCGCCGCGACGAGCUAGAGCGCGCCCGGGCCGCGCACCUGGACGGCGCGGCGCUGCUGCCGGCGCUGGGCGCCCUGCACUACCCGCGCCUCGCGCCCGCCGCCGCCGCCCUGCACAACAGUCUCCUGGCGCGGACCCCGCCCGCCGCCGCCGCGCUCGGCGCGCCGCCGCCGCUGGUGGCCGCAGGCGGGCCCCCCACGCCCCCCGGGCAGCCGCGGAGCAGGACUACGCCGCUGGGGGCCCGCGCGCCGGGUGAGGCCCGCGACUACUCCCCGUCCCGCAACCCCCAGGAGGUAGAGGCGCGGUAG